AUGUACAGAGACCUUAUGUUCCUCAUCCUGCUUCACUUAUAUCCCAUUUCCGAGAAUAUAGUAGUGCACAGGGCCUUUCUGCAUGCAGUGUUUAUUCCUAGCACAACGCUUGAAAGAGAUAUAAUCACUCCCCAUUUCAUGGGUCAAAGAGGACAAGCAACUGGCCUAAGGUCAAAGCUAUCAUGUGCAAAAUCUAAUGCACGCCUCCUAACCCUGACUCUCCCCUUUCAUAGUUUAACUCUACUAAUAAAGGGAAAUAAGGACCUCUGUCAAACAAUCUGUCCUCAAUUUCCGAAAGAAUUUCACUCCCCUUUUACCAGCUGGCAACGGACUCUAUGCUACUAGCUGGCUAGUGUUCUUCCUGCUCUAUGAAGGAGCAGUGGCGGAUGGGAAAGACCCGCAUUUGAAGUAAGGAAUAUGUGAAAAUUUCUUAUCCUGCCCACCUGAUACUGCAGAGAUAGAAAAAGAAGAAAAGUAAUGAAGAGGAGGAUAAAGACCAGAAAAGCAAAAGUAUGAGAAAGGUACUUUGUAUAAUCUGAAGAGUUAUAUUUUAAAUUGGAGAUUUAGAAAAAAAUCAUUCCACCCAUAAAUUACAUUGCUGCUGUCUAGAUAACUGCCUCAAUUUACAUAAUUUUGGUACAUAAUGGUAACAGCUGAAGCCGCCUAUGUGUUCAUCAAUUAAUAAAAACCCCAAAUAAACAUCCCAAAUAACGCACUUAAGAACACCUACUGGGUGGGGUUGGGGGGGGUGUCAAAAUACCAAACUUCACAUUUUGCCUUGGGUUUAUGACUACAAAAUCCAUGAAAAGAUCUAGACAUUAACUCCCACUCAUGACUAACAUUCCUUCAUUUGUUCCAGUAAAAUAACUGACAGCGAUGAAGCCUUGGUGAAAAUUCAGUUUAAGCCCACGUCCACACGCCGUGCAGUGAGUACAGUGUAGUGCAGUGAGCCAGCACUCUACUAGAAUUGAACAACGUCCCCCAGACAGAAGAAUGGACCCCAGGGGCUGUGGAAGACCAACUGCCAAGGCCAGAAGCACCCUCCUCACAUCCAGCAGGAGCCUCUGCAAAAAACAUGCUACAGCCGAGAGGCCGAACGUCCCCCAGAGAUGGUGUCAGUCCCCAGGACGGCGCUACUGGGAGGUAGUAGAAACUUUAAGAGAUGGGAGAUUUUCAGAUUUUUAGAUCAGGUCUCUGCCACCGUGACAAGACCUGACAGAAGCAAAGGAGAAAAAGUUUAUUUUGGCUCAUGGGUUUGGAGGUUUCCAAUGAUGAUUCAGUAGCUGAAUAGACUUAAAAGGUGGGGACAGCUGAAGGGAAUGAGUGGGGGCAUGUGACCCUGGGGACUACAUUUUGUCCCCAGUCCCCUUCCUCUCCAGCUCUCUCUCACUCUGCUUCUUGGCUAACAGGAAGAGAGCAGGUCUGCUCUACCACACCCUUCCAUCAAGAUGUUUCUGUGUUGCCACAGGCCUAAAGAGCAAGGCCAGUGAUGAGAAAUUAACAGAAUCCUUUGGAGAAUGUAGGCCCAGUGGCCUACAGACCUCUCCCUAGGGUCUACUUCUUAAAGGUUCAUGUACCUUCAAGGUCUGGGACCAGACCUUUAACACCCAGGCCACCAGUAGAUUUUCAGUGUCUACAGCACAUGUUCAGUAUAGAUGGGCUUAUUUAAAAUGUAUGAUCUACAGUUGGUAUAGAGGUUUAACUGCCUACAGUAGUACGCUGUAUCACAGUGCAACUCCUAUGAAGCACAUUAUUUGCUAACUUUCCUUACUUUAACUGUUCAUUUGUUUCCCUUGGUGUCCUUUAGUGGCACCUUUCUGACUUAUCUCUACCUACAAACUAAUUUAAAUCCUUGUUAUAGCAAAAAACACACAUGCAGACAUCUCUGCACUAACAGCUAAGCUGGAAUACACAAUACCCAGAUGUGUUAAGACUUGAAUGUGUCUUGUCAAUGCCACUCUCGGAGCUGUAUGAAGCACAUCCUCUGUCCACACUCCCAUUAUUUCAUUUAGCACACAUUGCUACAAUCACACGUCAGCCUUUCUUUAAAAGGCAGAGCCCGUCUGGGGACAUGAAUGUGCUAUAAAUAUCUGAAUGAAGAGAGAUUUAGGUGUGCAUGAGCACUGGGCAUUUUUUUUUUUUUUUUUUUUUUUUUUUUUUUUUNNNNNNNNNNNNNNNNNNNNNNNNNNNNNNNNNNNNNNNNNNNNNNNNNNNNNNNNNNNNNNNNNNNNNNNNNNNNNNNNNNNNNNNNNNNNNNNNNNNNNNNNNNNNNNNNNNNUAAAGAAAGAUUUUUGGGGUGGAUGAGGCUGGGGGUUUUUUUUUUUUUUUUUUUUUUUUUUUUGUACUGGGGAUUGAACUUGGGACCUUGCACUUGCGAGGCAGGCAGUGGAACCACUGAGCUAAAUCUCAGGUCCCAAGAGCAUUAAUUUUUAUAGUUAAUGUUGUUGCUAAUUAAUCUUAAAUCUUUAAAACACCUGCAAUGAACACAACUUGGUAUCUGGCUUCAAUGAUCAGAUCCCUAGCUAUCACCACUCAGAUACACUUCCAGGAAAAGUUAAUACUUUCCUCCCUUCCCUCCAAAUGCAUGUGUAGAGGCUCCUGUACAUUCAAAUGGGCCACAGCUGGAUAAACUCUGUGAGUUGGAAAUACUCAAAACUGGAAAUGCACUUAUUACUUAACCUACCCAACAGCAUGCGGCCUGUUCACUGGAAAUAACCAGCUGACUGGGAGCUGUCCUUGAUGCUCACACAGCCUCACAGGAGAGUAUGACACUGCACAGCAUGGAAAAACAUCAAGAUUCAAAACCUGAAGUAUGGCUUUUACUGAAUGAAUCCACCUUUGUCACCAUCAGAAAGUACAGUGGCUGUCUUAAGGAAAGGCACUAGGGCAACUGAUUUGUUAGCUUAACUGCUUUCCAGUGGAACACCGUUCUUCAAAUUGAGAUACUUGCAGUUUUACAUACCAUUCCAGGAAUAAGAGGAAUCAAUCCACAUAGACACUGUACAGUCAAAACAUAGAAAAUCUCACUGCCCUCUUGACUCAAGUCUCCCUUACCCCUAGCAACAAGAAAUCCACUGUUUGGACCCUCAACUUAUGACUGACCUGACAUACAAACAACUUGGGUUAAUUAGGUUAAUGGAAGAUUCACCUGCCUCUUGUUAUCUAUAGUGUGUGUCCAGGUAAACAUCCAGAUCUCAGCUGGACUUACAGCCAAUUUGAGUUACAACCAGUCCUCGGGAACCGAAUGAGUUUGUAAAUCAAGGAUCCACUGCACUAAGACUUUCUCUUCAAGGUAAGACUUACCAAGUUACGAAUUACAGGAUAACUGAGGGAGCCAGAGUCAGAACCCACAUUCAGUAAACAGGUAAAGAUGAUUUAGGGGUUUUAAUUUUAAAUAGCUAUCACCCACUGUGCUGAAAUAAAUGAAAGCACCUUGAAGGUAAUUCCAGGAUGUUGCUCCAGAUGAAAACUGAAGUCUCAGAAUUUUAAGUGUAGGCUUAAAAUAGCUUUGCAAGUUGAAUUAAGUUCCAAGUGCAGAAGAUAAUUUUCAAAAUCUAUGUAAAAAACAGGAACAAAAAAAUGCCAAAUGGCAGGAAUCUCCAUUUAGGCAUUUUAACAGCAGCAGACAGCAACUGGAAUGGUCUUCUCAAUACCUCAGUUAGAUGGCUUACUUAACCCUGGUCAGCAUUUACUCUGGUACAGGGAAAGAAAACCUACAUUUAAUUCAACCACUAAUAAGCAGCCUUCUCUCUGAAGCUGGUAAAAGUCCAAGUAAACAGUCCACUAGCUACAUCAGCAGCAGGGUCAGGGUCUUCCCAAACGCCUGGAACUUCCUGUUUCCUUAAGUGUUCACAUCUGCAAAAGGGGUGCCUGGCAUGAUCUCUACUUCCCAAAGAUGAAUUUUUCAGUCAGGGUCAAAGCAGUACCUUGCAACAAAAGGAAAGUUACUCCUUCCUCAGUCAUUGUUAACUAAAUGAAUACAAGCUGGGGUAGAGUGUUUCUGAAAGUUUCAAGUUUUCCUCAGUUUUACACUAUUUUAUUUAGAAUGUAUUAAAUGGCAUAAAUAAAAACAAUUAUUUGAACUCAAAAAAUUACUGUCGGUUAAGACAACACAGUAAGAGACCCAAAAGGUAUCUGAACAGAAUACCAAAUGCAUAAGAAGUAACAUCAAGAAUCAGCAAAUGGCCCAAUGAUGACUGUAACUGUACUGUAUACCUAACAAGUAUAAACUCAAUAAAGAAAAGAAUCAACAAAUGGGAUUAUUUCAAAUUGAAAAGCUUCUGCACAGCAAAAGAAAUAAAGAGUGAAAAGACAACCUACAAAAUGGGAAAAUUUUUUCUUUCCAGCUACACCCAGACAAUAUUUGGAAUACAGAAAGAAUUCAAAAAAAUUAGAAUUCCCCUAAAAUAAAAGAUCCAAUAAAAAAAUGGGCAACUGAAAUGAAUAGACAAUUCUCAGACACAAUGAUAUGUUAUAUACAUGUAGCAACGCCUCACAAUAAAUGAAAUCAUUAUAUACUUACAAAUGUGCUGAUAAAAAUUGAAAUUUGGGGGGAAAAACCUGCAUUGACCCAAAUGACAAAAGCAUUCCUCUCUUUUUCACUAUGCACUUGAGGACAUCAGAGGGCUAAUCUUAGUAAGCAUCACUGGAAAGAAAAUUCUGGAAAGAGGAAGUCAUUUUAUAACUAUUAGAACACGCAAAAUCAAAAUGCUGAAUAAUUUAAAAGACAAACUCUGUAGGAUUUCCUUUUGAAUAGAGACAACUACACCCAGACAACCAGGCUUGACUGAUUCAACUGGACACCUAACCGGUGGCUU
ensembl:lincRNA